GACGAACGCUGGCGGCGUGCCUAAUACAUGCAAGUUGAGCGCUGAAGGUUGGUACUUGUACCAACUGGAUGAGCAGCGAACGGGUGAGUAACGCGUGGGGAAUCUGCCUUUGAGCGGGGGACAACAUUUGGAAACGAAUGCUAAUACCGCAUAAAAACUUUAAACACAAGUUUUAAGUUUGAAAGAUGCAAUUGCAUCACUCAAAGAUGAUCCCGCGUUGUAUUAGCUAGUUGGUGAGGUAAAGGCUCACCAAGGCGAUGAUACAUAGCCGACCUGAGAGGGUGAUCGGCCACAUUGGGACUGAGACACUGCCCAAACUCCUACGGGAGGCAGCAGUAGGGAAUCUUCGGCAAUGGACGAAAGUCUGACCGAGCAACGCCGCGUGAGUGAAGAAGGUUGUCGGAUCGUAAAACUCUGUUGGUAGAGAAGAACGUUGGUGAGAGUGGAAAGCUCAUCAAGUGACGGUAACUACCCAGAAAGGGACGGCUAACUACGUG
rnacentral:rRNA from 1 species